rnacentral:rRNA from 1 species
UACGUAGGGUGCAAGCGUUGUCCGAAUUAUUGGCGUAAAGAGCUCGUAGGCGGUCUGUCGCGUCGGCUGUGAAAUCCCGAGGCUCAACCUCGGGUCUGCAGUCGAUACGGGCAAACUGGAGUGUUGCAGGGGAGACUGGAAUUCCUGGUGUAGCGGUGAAAUGCGCAGAUAUCAGGAGGAACACCGGUGGCGAAGGCGGGUCUCUGGGCAACAACUGACGCUGAGGAGCGAAAGCGUGGGGAGCGAACAGG